CCACCGAAGACGCGGCAGUAUUUUGUACUGGGUAGGAGAGCGUCCCAUGAGGGGCGAAGCGGCCGUGUGAACGCGCCGUGGACUUCAUGGGAGUGAGAAUGCAGACAUGAGUAGCGAGAGACGGGUGAAGAUCCCGUCCGCUGGAUGACCAAGGGUUCCAGGGCCACGUUCAUCGUCCCUGGGUGAGUCGGGUCCUAAGGCGAGGCCGACAGGCGUAGUCGAAUGGAUGAACGGGUCGAUAUUCCCGUACCGGCUUUCAGCCGCCAAAACCGAGGCUUGGAGUACUAACCUCCGGGUCCGGGCUUACUGCUCCUUCGGGGGCGGGAUGCCCUGGCCUGUUGGGACCGAUCCUUGUAGUAGGUCAGCGCAGGAGUGACGCAGAAGGGUAGCCGGCCGCGGAGGUGGUCUUCCGUGGUCAAGCACGCAGGGCGUGGGACAGGCAAAUCCGUCCCGCAUGGGUCCGAGGUGCGAUGAUGGGGGCCUUAUGGCCCGAUAUCCGGUGAUCCCGGCUGCCGAGAAAAGCUUCGGCGUCAGGCUCGAAGCCGCCCGUACCCCAAACCGACACUGGUGGUCAGGUAGAGAAUACCAAAGCGAUCGAGCGAAUCCUGGUCAAGGAACUCGGCAAAUCACUCCCGUUCCUUCGGUUUAAGGGAGACCCCCGAUGGUGAACCGCCUCGCGCGGGGAGCUUUUGGGGGUGGCACAGACCAGGGGGUAGCGACUGUUUACCAAAAACACAGGUGCAUGCGAAGGCGCAAGCCGCUGUAUAUGCACUGACGCCUGCCCGGUGCCGGAAGGUUAAGAGGAUCCGUCAGCCUUCGGGUGAAGCGGUGAAUUCAAGCCCCGGUAAACGGCGGUGGUAACUAUAACCAUCCUAAGGUAGCGAAAUUCCUUGUCGGGUAAGUUCCGACCUGCACGAAUGGCGUAACGACUUCCCCACUGUCUCGACCAGGAGCUCGGCGAAAUUGCAGUACGAGUAAAGAUGCUCGUUAAGCGCAGAAGGACGAAAAGACCCCGGGACCUUUACUAUACCUUGGUAUUGGCAUUCGGUGUGGAUUGUGUAGCAUAGGCGGGAGGCCGAGAGGCGCGGUCGCCAGAUCGCGCGGAGCCGUAAGGUGAAAUACCGCUCUGUUCGCAUUGGAUGUCUAACCUCGAACAGUCAUCCUGUUCAGGGACAGUGCCUGGCGGGUAGUUUAACUGGGGCGGUUGCCUCCCAAAGAGUAACGGAGGCGCCCAAAGGUCCGCUCAGCCCGGUUGGCAAUCGGGUGGCGAGUGCAAGUGCACAAGCGGGCUUGACUGCGAGGACGACGGUCCGAGCAGGGACGAAAGUCGGGACUAGUGAUCCGGUGCCGGUGUACGGACGCGGCAUCGCUCAACGGAUAAAAGGUACCCCGGGGAUAACAGGCUGAUCAUUCCCAAGAGUCCAUAUCGACGGGAUGGUUUGGCACCUCGAUGUCGGCUCGUCGCAUCCUGGGGCUGGAGCAGGUCCCAAGGGUUCGGCUGUUCGCCGAUUAAAGCGGCACGCGAGCUGGGUUCAGAACGUCGUGAGACAGUUUGGUCUCUAUCCUCUGCGCUCGUUGGAAUGCUGAGGAGGCCUGCCCAUAGUACGAGAGGACCUGGGUGGACGAACCUCUGGUAUGCCGGUUGUCACGCCAGUGGCACGGCCGGUUGGCUACGUUCGGAAGGGAUAACCGCUGAAAGCAUCUAAGCGGGAAGCCUGCUCCAAGAUAAGCAUUCCGUGGAACCUUCGAGUUCCUGUAGUCCCCAUGCAGAACACGUGGUCGAUAGGCCGGACGUGGAAGCCCCGCGAGGGGUGGAGCCGACCGGUACUAACGGACGAAAGGCA
rnacentral:rRNA from 1 species